rnacentral:rRNA from 1 species
UUUCCAGACUCCUACGGGAGGCAGCAGUGAGGAAUAUUGGUCAAUGGGCGGAAGCCUGAACCAGCCAAGUCGCGUGAGGGAAUAAGGCCCUACGGGUCGUAAACCUCUUUUGCCGGGGAGCAAGGGCGGGGACGUGUCCCGGCCCGGAGAGUACCCGGAGAAAAAGCAUCGGCUAACUCCGUGCCAGCAGCCGCGGUAAUACGGAGGAUGCGAGCGUUAUCCGGAUUUAUUGGGUUUAAAGGGAGCGUAGGUGGAUUGUUAGGUCAGUUGUGAAAGUUUGCGGCUCAACCGUAAAAUUGCAGUUGAAACUGGCAGUCUUGAGUACAGUAGAGGUGGGCGGAAUUCGUGGUGUAGCGGUGAAAUGCUUAGAUAUCACGAAGAACUCCGAUUGCGAAGGCAGCUCACUGGACUGCAACUGACACUGAGGCUCGAAAGUGUGGGUAUCAAACAGGAUUAGAUACCCGUGUAC